rfam:Picea glauca, whole genome shotgun sequence.
ACAUGUCUAUAGCAUAGCGUUAAUGCAUUGGAUUCCAUUAGAACUUUGUAGUUAAGCAUGCUUAGGCUAGAGUAGUAUUGAGAUGGGUGACCUCCCGGGAAGUCCUAUAGUUUUACAUGCC